ACUUAAUGAGUUUAUCAUGAACAUACCAUUGUCUCUUAAUUUGAAGCCUGCCAGCCCAAUGAAUGCAGAUUUGCGGGUGACCCAUCAAAAAAAUCAGCAUUUUGAAAGUGACUGUAGAGAUUUUUGAAUACCCAAAGCAAUUGGCAUUGACUUAAUUUAUGUCCUGGAUGGGUUUGGAAGCUCCAUCCUCUGCAAGUCCUGCCUCCCUAACUAAUCUUAAAAUGGACAACCAAAAUGGCUCAAAAGACAGUGAUCAUGAUGCAUUGUUAUAAAGGAUGUGGUCAUGUCAUUUUUGAAAAGUCAUCUUUAUGUUGAUCUCUAAGCAUGCAAGGCAAUAAAAAGGUCUCAUCUUCCUACCAUGCUGGUUUCAUGGCUUUUUCCCAGGGGGAAAGGGGAGUCCUUUUUGAGUUGAUGCCUAAAUACCAUUGACAGGGAUGUUUCUGAUUUCCAGUGGAUUAGUAUUUCAUUGAAGUCAGCUGUAGUGUGAAACCAUGAGCUUUUUAGUUAAGAUGAAUGUCUCAGUAGCGGUUGUUUUGUGUGUAACAGCUUGUUGGGAUGGCAGAUUGCACCCGGUGUAGCACACUGAGCAAUUGUUUUGGGCAAGGAAGUAGUAAUCUGUUCACGGCAAAUAAAUAAUGAAAAAUGGGACUUCAGUGUGGCUCUAUUAGCAAGCUAGUGAGCAGAAGUACAGGCUUCUCCCAAUGUUUGCUUUAAUUUGAUGCAGGCGAGGUAUAUGGCCAAGUGGGCAGCAGGUGCCCACCUGGGGAAUGGUCUGUAGUGACCCCACGCUGUCCCAUCCUGGGCUGGCAGUGCCGGCAGCCAGCUGAUGGGAAGGAGGCAAAGGCUUAAGUCAAGGCAUUUGUGGGAACCUAAAAUCUCUUUUAAAGUUGACUGAUGGUUAAAAUAGGGUUUUGACUUGCCUGCGUGUCAAUCUUAUUAUGAUCAAACCAAGCCCCUCCAAAACUUACUGAAGAUUUAAAUAAACUCAGCUAAAGGCAGAGUUGUUUUAACAGUAUUGGAGCCAGAUCCUGAAAAUGUCCAGUACAGUACAGUACUACAGUACAGUAGCCGAAUUACAUCCACCGAAUUUUAUUAGUCUCCAGGAUAUAUAUGUGGUUAAAGAAGAAAAAUAGGUUCUGUCUUAUUUUAUAAAAAUAAGUCACUGAAUAAAUCUCAGCGAAGAACGAAUUAACAUAACAAACAGCAGCUGAAGUCCUUUCACAAUUGGAUUUGUUCUUAACCCGGAUUCGGGUCAUUAUUAUUUUUUUAUCACACCCUACAAAUAAAUCUCUCAUCCAUUCUGGAACAGGCAGAGUUUUCAUAACCCAGGUCCUGUUUAUGACCCGGGGCGCUGACCCAGUGGCUGGUGAGGAGCUGGGCCUGGUCCUGAGCGCUGGCUGGUGUUUUACUUGAAAGCAGUUGUGUCUCAUUUAGAGUAUGCAGAACUGUUGCAAGUGCCUAUCACAGUGUGCCCUGGCUUUCUUUUGUCCGUAAUUCAAUGGUUAUAUGUUUGUUAAAAAAAAUAUAAAACCUGUCUGAGGGUAGAUUCCCCUUCUCCCUCCCCCAGUAUUUCCCGAAAGCUAUUUAUGUGCUUGUUUGGUCUUGUAUCCAAUAGUGCUCAUAUUUUGGUCCAAUUUUCUCUUCAAUUCAUCCACCUAACAGAAUGUGAUGUGAUUUUUUUUUUCAUUUAAGAAAAAAGUUGCUUCAGAAAGUAAAUGUUUUAAAAACAGGGUGUGCUUCCCCCUUUCUUUUUGUACUUCUCCCUGUCAUCACCACACUUUUAUCUGUUCUGAAAUACUCUCUUCAGUUUCAUUGCUUUGGAGACACAAAAACCCUAUUUGACAGCUAUGAUAGAAAAGCUUUAGGUGAAAAACAUGUUCAGGAGAUCUGAGGGGUGAGGGCUGCUCGGAGCUGGGAUUUUUAGCAGCAGCUUUGGGCUUGAUUACCCAGAUUCUGCCUCCCCACAGAGGGCUGCCCUAUGGGCAGAUGCUCAGCACUGAGACGACUUUUAUGUGGACUUAAGUGGGUACUUAAAAGUCACUUGCUAUUUAAAAACCUUGAUCCCCAAAUACUACAAACUGUCCAUUUAGUGUGUUAUAUCUAUUUUGGGGUGCUGUGAAUGGGCUGCAGAUCUGUGUUUAAGAUGGACAGCUGACGUGCUGGAUAUGAUCGUGGCCCAUGUGGUGAGCACGAAGCGCUCGCCAGGUCAGAGGAGGACCACAAAUAUUAAGGAGUAGCCUUUUUGUUGGUCUACUGGGUGUGUUGACUGAGCCAAAAAUUAUCUCUUUCCACUGCACCCACACAGGGGGAUGUUCAGGGUUGUUCCUCCUUAUCUCAGUGAGCUGUCGGCCACCACCUGUAGUGUGAGGGCAGCUGGGGAACUGGAUUGGUUUUAGCCCCACCUUUUCACUGGGUUUCCCAGGUGGAAGAGAAGAGGGGAUGGUCUGCUCCUGAGUUUUGCUUUCCUCCUGGGUUCAUUUCCGUUGUGGCCACAGCUGGUUCCAGGAGGUGAACAGGCAAAACUGCAGCCACAGCAAAAUACAGAUGUGCCCGUGGGGCCACAAGGGCCACCCAGCGAGCUGCCGUUUUAGAAGGAUGUGCAUUACUUAUGGUCGAGCAGUCGUGGGCUCAGAAGGACCCAGCGGGGAAGGUCCUGCUCCCUAUCUCUGCCCCCCACUCCUUCCAAGCCACUGGGCUGGAGGAGCAGUGAUCCCCAUCUCUGAGCAGCCAAUGCCACCCCGUCACUUGGCAGGGCCAGCACUGAGCCCAGCAGCGCCGGUGCCGUAGCUGCAGCCUUUGGGGGGUGUGUUUGUUCCCCUCAAUGGCCCCAAGCACCUUUACCUGGAGCCCAGGCUGGAUUUGGCCCAUCUGAACAUGGUGGUGACUCCUGCGUGGUGGGAGGCUCUCCCCCAAACACAAACCUGACUUGGUCCAUGCUUCAGCCUCUUCAUUAACCAUGACCAUUAUCACAGAAACUUGCAAACUGCCUGAACCAUGCGCUGCGUAAGACAAAGUGAAAUAAAUAAUCCACAAGCAGAAGUGCUUUUAGAAGUAAGUUGACCCCAGAUGUUUUAGGGUUUCACUGUAGUCUGCUGCACUUUUCAGGUACAAAAAAGGGACUGUCCUUACUAUUACUCUUGUUACAGAGAGUGUUAUUUUCUUACAUGCAUGCACAAUACAAUGUGUACGAAUAAUUUAACAUCGAUGUGGGGUUGGAUUUUUUUUUUAACCUAUUUGUAUGCAGUAGAAGGCUUGUUGUAGAAAAGUAUCUCCUCAUACCUAAAUAUACUGUUAAUAAAGAAAAAAGCUAAAUUAUACAUUGCCAACACAAGUGUGAACUGCUCAUGAAUCUUUCCUUAAAAAAGCCAUUCAAGCCUGAUUAUUUUUCUAAGUAACUUCAAUUAAAUUGAAGAAAGAAA